rnacentral:rRNA from 1 species
AUUGAACGCUGGCGGCAGGCUUAACACAUGCAAGUCGAGCGCCCCGCAAGGGGAGCGGCAGACGGGUGAGUAACGCGUGGGAACGUGCCCUUUGCUACGGAAUAGCUCCGGGAAACUGGAAUUAAUACCGUAUGAGCCCGUUGGGGGAAAGAUUUAUCGGCAAAGGAUCGGCCCGCGUUGGAUUAGCUAGUUGGUGGGGUAAAGGCCUACCAAGGCGACGAUCCAUAGCUGGUCUGAGAGGAUGAUCAGCCACAUUGGGACUGAGACACGGCCCAAACUCCUACGGGAGGCAGCAGUGGGGAAUAUUGGACAAUGGGCGCAAGCCUGAUCCAGCCAUGCCGCGUGAGUGAUGAAGGCCUUAGGGUUGUAAAGCUCUUUCACCGGAGAAGAUAAUGACGGUAUCCGGAGAAGAAGCCCCGGCUAACUUCGUGCCAGCCGCCGCCGUAA